rnacentral:lncRNA from 1 species
GAAAAGGAAACACUGACACCAGGACAGUGUGAGCCGAGUGUAGAGUAGAGACGGAGAUUUUUGUCUCUAUUAAGCAAGCAGUAUAAUCCAUCAACUCCAGGCACAUCAAACAGACCAAUUUAAAACAAAAGACUUUUCAUUGGAUUUCUACAUUUUCCACAUACACAAAUAAUACGAGAACAGACAAGCAAUGCCUGAGCAUCUCAAUCUUACUCCUUCCAGAUCCUAACAGAACCUGACAGUCUUCAGGGCAACUUUUCAAAUAAACAGCCAGGAAUGGACAGGAAGCAAAUGCUUUGUGCAAACACCAAUAAUUCUCAUUCUAUCCUCUUACAUAUUGACACGUUCUAGCUGUAAUCUUUUUUUUUUUUUUUUUUCUUAGCUAUUCUCCUUUAGGAGACGGUAAAGAGGCUCAGAAGGCAAUUUCCAUGUCAAAGAGGCUGGAAGAGGAAGAAGGGUGGUGUGGGAGAUGUUAGCCUAGUGGUGGCCUCCUGUUGGAACCCACCCCAGACCUUCCAGGCAUGGCUGACCACCUCUCUUUUUUGUUCCCCCGACAGCAUGAAUCACACAUGGCAUUUCUUGUUUCAUAUGUUCUAUGCUAUCAUCCUCCUUAAGGGUAGAGGCAGCUUCUUGCAAGUAGAAGCUGUACCUUUCUCACCUCUCUAUAGCUCAGUCCCUGGCUCAUUACACGAGUUCUUUAAUAGCAUGAAAUAAGGUAGACUGGAGUGAACACAGCAACCACGGAGAUAAUGGUAACAUUCUUCCCCCCUCCGCUUGAGAUGCUCAAUAGAUGAUACAUGUGAAAUUGCUGUACAAACUGCAAUGCACUAUACUCGUCUAAAUGCGAGAGGCAUGGCAGUCAAGACCCAGAGGCUCCAUGGUGAGACUAGUAGAGACUGUUUCAUAUGCCAGAAAAAUGGGACAGCGGCCAAGAGCAAGAUGGCUCAGUUCAAAUCCUAGCUCAACUUAUUGCUAGCUGUGCAAUUUUGGUCCAAUCACUUACCCUCCCUGUGCUUUGGUCUCAUCAUUUGUAAAAUUGAGAGCAUAAUGGAAUUGACUUCAUAGAGCGGCUUGAGAAUCAAAUGAGCCGAGAUUAAAAACUUUCAGAACAGUGCCUGGCAUAUAGCAAGCACUGUAUUAAUAUUAACUACUAUUAAUAAGCAUUAUUAUUUUCAUUACUAAUGUUAAUCAUUGUAUCUGGCUCCUGCAGUUGUCUCCCAAAAUCUUAAGAAAUGGAGCGAAUCUUAGAGCUCCUGCCUUCCAACCUCCUGCUACUUCACCUCUAAUGAGUGGGUGGAAGACCACAGAGAGAAUUCACACGUUUCAAACACAUACUAUGUGCCAAGACAAGUGCUAGGUGUCUAGUACAUGUUGUCACUUUUGUCUCAAUAAAAUUGAGUGAGGUAGGUAUUGUUAUUGCCCCAUUUUACAGAUGGGAGAUUCAAGUUCAAAGGGAAGGUUGCCUCUGGUCACAAGCUAGGAAUUGGUGGAGUUUGGAUUCCAGCUGAGAUGUCCACACCCUAAACCUGUAAUGAGCACUUUGUUAACUAGAGUCUUGCUCUGCCCCGCCCCAUCACUAUGUGAGAGCUAGCCUUCUCUCUCCAACCAGACUCACAGCACCUGCCAUUCCUCUCGCUCCAUCCCCUCCACCCACUCUCCUUUAAUAAGUGGAAAGGUAUUUUUACUGAUUCAUUUAUUCGUAAUUUUCAGAACACCCACCAUGUGCCAGUCACUAGUGUGUGUGCUGUGGGGACAAAAAUGAGUAGGAGUCUAGGGAACUCCAUGCUUCUCAUGGCAGGUAAAUAUCAAUUAGGCCAUUUAAUUGAUUGAGAUAGAGGAAGAGGUAGACAGCCACAGUAAAUGUCUUAGACUGAGAUGCCCCUGGAAUGCAGAACCUGAGUCAACGUCUUGCAUGCAGGUAGUUUGUUUUGGAAGAUGAGCCUGGGAACAGAAGUGGGAGACUGUGGAUAGUGAAACAUGGGGAGAGGGGACACCCAUGUAAGGGCAUGAUGCAUAAUAUCAAGUCGGUCACCACAGUGGGCGACUGGGGCACAAUUCCCCUCGGACCUUCAGAGGAACCCUCUAGAAUGCAUCUCAGAAUUGCCUACUAACAUUUAUCUACCAGCUCAUAAAUCCUCUAUGGUUUAAGAAUUCACUGUGGAGUGUUAACUGCCUCGCACUUUCAGGCAGCACAUGCUUGAGUGCGGCGCAGGAUCCCCACAAGCUGAAAAUCCAGAGAUGCCCCAGGGAAGGAAACAUUGCAAGCACAUUCUUCUGGGCAGAGGAGGCUGCUCCAGGAAUGGC